CAUGCCCCUUGCCCACAUCCAUUUAGUGUAGGCUCCUACACUAUAACAAUAUUGCAUAUUGUUAUUGAAACAUUAGAAAAAUGAAAUCAGAGGUGUCUAAACUCAGUCUUCCAGCUAUUGUUGAGCUGCAAUUUCAAAUCAAUUGUUGAAAUAAUCGCGCAGACUUUGGAGCAUAGAACAAAAAUAUCAAAAAAGUGAAUGCAAGGGUUCAUCACUAAACUGUAAAUUGGCAUGAAUAGCA